rnacentral:rRNA from 1 species
GAUGAACGCUGGCGGCGUGCUUAACACAUGCAAGUCGAACGGUGAAAGAGAGCUUGCUCUCUGGAUCAGUGGCGAACGGGUGAGUAACGCGUGAGCAAUCUGCCCCUGACUCUGGGAUAAGCGCUGGAAACGGCGUCUAAUACCGGAUACGAGCUGCGAAGGCAUCUUCAGCAGCUGGAAAGAACUUCGGUCAGGGAUGAGCUCGCGGCCUAUCAGCUAGUUGGUGAGGUAACGGCUCACCAAGGCGUCGACGGGUAGCCGGCCUGAGAGGGUGACCGGCCACACUGGGACUGAGACACGGCCCAGACUCCUACGGGAGGCAGCAGUGGGGAAUAUUGCACAAUGGGCGAAAGCCUGAUGCAGCAACGCCGCGUGAGGGACGACGGCCUUCGGGUUGUAAACCUCUUUUAGCAGGGAAGAAGCGAAAGUGACGGUACCUGCAGAAAAAGCACCGGCUAACUACGUG